AGCUCUCCAAGUAAUGUUACAAGCUCUACAGGUGUUUUCUUCUUCAACAUGGAGAUCCUUCGAUAGAGAUCAAAUGCCGGACUCACUGUACGGCCAUAGUCAGGACUGGGCUAACAGAACGACUGCAUGCCCUCCAUGAUCGCCCUGUUACAUGAAUUAGCUAAGAAGAAUUAGAAAAAGUGGAGUAAAUGGAGUAAAGGACAAUUCAUUAUAGUAUGAUAAACACACAAAGCUCUAUCCAUAGUACCAGCAAUGGAUAACAAGAACAACUCCAGAUUAUUAGUUGAUUCAUUAUAGAAUAAUAUAGAACAAGCUCCCAGUUUGGAGCAAACAGUGGAUAAAAGCAUGCAACAGCAAUGGAACAAUCAUGCACACAGUAUAAUAAAAUGGAUAGAACAAUAAAAUGGAUAGAACAAUAACAAGAACAACUCCAGAUUACACACAAAGCUCUAUCCAUAGUACCAGCAAUGGAUAAAAUCAUGCACACAGUAUAAUUUUGACUAUGAUAUAACCAGAGAACUAAAUAUUCUACAUACUUUGAACUCAUCAACUAAUAAGUGAGAAUGAUCUAAUUGUAUGCAAACAAUCUUUUUUUAUUUGUUUAUAUUACUAAAACAGACAUCUUCCUUUAUGUGAAGAAGUCUGCUUCCUUCUUUAGUUAGUAGUAAUCGUUCCAUGCAAAUCAACCGUGUGUGUAUGCUUGAGCAUGGUCUGGAGAUUACAUUCAUAGAGGAACAGAAUCCUAAACAAAAUAGCAUCAAAUAGCGGUGGGUGCUCAACAUAUUUACCAUACACAAGCAACACUUAAACCAUAGCAUGUGCAUAUACUUGUGUCACAUUAGGGGGUUCAGAAUGUACACAGUAUAUUCUAAUAAAAAGGAUUGGGAGAAGAGGGAGAGGGAGGUGGAUAUGGACGUGCUACCUGCUGCUCCAGUGGUGCCUCUUGGUGGUCGUGCUUGAGCUCCUCCUGGUGCUGCGUGAAUCCAAGUGGCUCUGAAGCAAAAUCUCCAGCGGAACUACAAUGCAACGAAUAGUAAGUAACAGCAAUGUCUGCGACGUCUGCAAUGAACUUUUGAGCAGCUACAGCAACCAGCCUUGUUCCGCAGACCAAAAAAUUAGGAAAUAGAUUUAAAAACAUGUCAUUCAUGUGGACCAAUAAUCACUGAGUUGGAGGGGAAACUGCAGUUUCUCUCAGGCUGGAACUACAACGUGCUAAAACAACCCUAAGUGGUUCCAUUCAUGUGGAAGAAUACAGCUCAGGUGCUAAACCUGAAAACAAUAUGAUGUGCAGAAACUAGAUUUAAUUUAGUAUUAUAGGAACUUGAAUUUUGUUCACAGGUUAAUCCAACCCAAGUAAAAAUAGGCUAAAUAGAACAGAUAACUCCAUCUUCUUUGUUAAGGCUGAAAAGAGAAGGCAGCCAUCACAGUGAUCUUCUCUGUUAAGGCUGUGGGGGAUUGAAGGAUUGGUAAGAUCUGCUCGGUUUCUUUGAUUUGAAAGCUAAAGUUCGAAGCGAGUUGUGCAACAUCACAGUGAUCACAGAGUAUAGCACUGCUAGCUAGUCAUCUGCCCACGACUUCAUAGAAACAAGAAAAGUAAUGUCCACAUAUGACUCUUGUGCUGUCAAAAUCUGAAACCAGGCAUCCUUCUAAAUUAUAAGUACAUUUCAUGAUUUUGACACUCGUCACUUGUCAGACCCGGGAUCGCGUAUCUAUGCACUCGUAGGAAUACUACAGAUAAUUGAGUUUUUAUCAACACUUGGAGAAAGCACGGUAAAAGGUGUUAAAUGUUCCAAGAACAAAACUUUGUGGCUCAGGUAGCUAGCCUAACAUAGCCGCACUGAAUAAUCAGCUCAAACCCGCAGACAAAAUGACGCGUUCUAAUCUAGCAUUGCCUUCUAUUCUCAGGGAAGCAAGGGUAUGUUGCAGCCACAAGCUAACAGUAAACCAGGAACCUUAAACUUAACAGGGAAGAAAACUCCGACAUAAGAAUUCUCUGUCGAAGGAUUACCGGUCUGGUCUGGGGGCCAAGGACGCCAUUGAUGAAGGUGGCACUCAAGGUGGAGGCAGCAUACCCGAAUCCAAGGGCCCGAAACGCUGAUAUAUAUGAAGGAGAUCAAUUGCGCGUGAGAAAGAAUCCGAGAAUCAACCGGAU
rnacentral:lncRNA from 1 species